rnacentral:misc_RNA from 1 species
GAUGAAGAACGUAGCGAAAUGCGAUACUUGGUGUGAAUUGCAGAAUCCCGUGAACCAUCGAGUCUUGAACGCAAGUUGCGCCUCAAGCCAUUAGGUUGAGGGCACGUCUGCCUGGGCGUCACAUAUCGUUGCCUGAUGCCAGUUUCCUCGUGAUGGGUGACUGUGCAGGGCGAAUGAUGGCUUCCCGUGAGCAUUGUUGCCUCAUGGUUGGUUGAAAAUUGAGUCCUUGGUAGGGAGCGCCGUGAUAGAUGGUGGUUGAGUGACGAACGAGACCCAAUCAUGUGAGACCCCUACCGAAUUUGGCCUUCAUGACCCACAUGCGUCUUUGGAACGCUCAUGACGAGACCUCAGGUCAGGCGGGGCUACCCGCUGAGUUUAAGCAUAUCAAUAAGCGGAGGA